rnacentral:rRNA from 1 species
GCGUGAGAAUCUGCCCUCAGGAGGGGGAUAACGGCUGGAAACGGCCGCUAAUACCCCAUAUGCCGAGAGGUGAAAUGAAUUUCGCCUGAGGAUGAGCUCGCGUCUGAUUAGCUAGUUGGUGGGGUAAAGGCCUACCAAGGCUUCGAUCAGUAGCUGGUCUGAGAGGAUGAUCAGCCACACUGGGACUGAGACACGGCCCAGACCCCUACGGGAGGCAGCAGUGGGGAAUUUUCCGCAAUGGGCGAAAGCCUGACGGAGCAACGCCGCGUGAGGGAUGAAGGCCUCUGGGCUGUAAACCUCUUUUCUCAAGGAAGAAGAUCUGACGGUACUUGAGGAAUAAGCCACGGCUAAUUCCGUGCCAGCAGCCGCGGUAAUACGGGAGUGGCAAGCGUUAUCCGGAAUUAUUGGGCGUAAAGCGUCCGCAGGCGGCCUUGUAAGUCUGUCGUUAAAGCGUGGAGCUUAACUCCAUUUCAGCGAUGGGAACUACAAGGCUGAGUGUGGUAGGG